CAUCCUGUUCCCCUGUUACAGAUGGAUUUCCAGGGGGGAGGUUGUAGAGCUCAGGGGGGGGCAAGCCACCAAGGUUUUUGAGGUUGGGCUUCCUUUACUGGUUAAGCAAAGGAGACAGGAAGUGGAGCUUCAUAAGCAACUGUUCAAGUGGGCUGAAUAUGCAAAGGGAGCC